rfam:Picea glauca, whole genome shotgun sequence.
GCAUGGCUACAACAUAGCAUUAAUGCACUGGAUCCCAUUAGAACUUCGCAAUUAAGCGCGCUCAGGCUAGAGUAGUACUAGGAUGGUUGA